rnacentral:rRNA from 1 species
GACGAACGCUGGCGGCGUGCUUAACACAUGCAAGUCGAACGGAAAGGCCCUGCGUUUGUGGUGUGCUCGAGUGGCGAACGGGUGAGGAACACGUGUGUAACCUGCCCUUGACUUUGGGAUAACUUCAGGAAACUGGGGCUAAUACCGGAUAGGAGCCGCUGCUCCAGUGUGGGGGUUGGAAAUUUUCGGCUGUUGGGGCUGGAUUCGCGGCUUAUCAGCUUGUUAGUUGGGUAGGCGUUGACCAAGUCAUUGACGGGUAGCCCGCAGGAGAGCGUGACCGGCCACCAUAGUACUGCGAUACGGAGCAGACUCGUACGUGAGGCAGCAGGCGGAAAUCUGACACAAUGGGACCACGCCUGUGACAGAAACGCUGCGUUCGUGAUGACGGUCUUCGGGUUAAAAACAGCUUUAGCCUGUGACGAAGCGUGAGUGACGGUAAUGGAUAAAGAAGCACCGGCUAACUACGUG